AUAAUACUCCCUCCAUUCGGAAUUACUUGUCAUCAAAAUGGAUGUGUCUAGAACUAAAAUACAUCUAGAUACAUCCAUUUCAAUGGCAAGUAUUUUCGGACAGAGGGAGUAGUAG
rnacentral:pre_miRNA from 1 species